rnacentral:lncRNA from 1 species
UGGAAUGCAAUGACAUCCAUUACGAGAGCAUAUCUCAUCGUAGUCAAUCCUAGUGCGUGUUAGUGAGAGACCUUGCGCCAUAAGGUGAGUCUAAGCUCUUGUUCUCACUACGCUAUCUAACAAAGGUAUAGUUGAUAGGGUUUAACUUGCGGUGUCGGCAUCACUUGCCCAAGGACCUAUCUCUUUGUUAAUGCUGGAUCUCAUCUUUCCAUUAGGCCAAUCAACUAAGUUGAUAUCCAUCAACGAAGGGUGGUUCGAUAAUAGACUCAUUAUCUCACGUCCUCAUGUACACUAGUGUAAUACUUGUAGAGAUCUCUAUAUGGAUUGGUUUUGACAUUGAGGCGUCCCCCAACGAUAAUCACAAUUCAGACUUCAUGAGACGGAUUUGAGUAUCACUGAUCAAUGGAUCAGGUUGUGCCAAGCUUGCUUUCUUUCUAGUACAAGACAAUAUCGAACCUAAGGGCCUCCCUCCUUUUAGAGAGCCACACGGCCUUGUGACACCAAUUUUGCCACUAUAUGGCGUCACCAUAUCACCAUCCAUGGUGAUGGCGUCAAGACCAACACCUUUUGGUCGCGCCAUGUCCUUUUGAUAGGACAUCAAUCCUUACAGACAUAUUUGCAGCAUGUGAUCUCGUCACUUUAACACUUUAAGCAUUUGGGAUCAAGAUGAGACUUAGUGGGGACAAACCACGACAAUUCACGUCGUUCCACUUGAACACUUGUGUUCUUAUCUCCCCCUAACGGCGGGAAUAUUGUCUCAUCAAAGUGACAAUCCGCAAUUUAGCGGUGAAUGAGAUUGCCUGACAAGGUUUCUACAUAUGCGAAUUUAUAGGUGGAGGUUUACAUCCAACCUAAAUACUUAUUCAUCUCAAAUGACCCAUCAUUGUACGCAGUGGCAAUGCGAUUUGGCACCUAGAAAUAACAUCUAGCCGAGCUCAAGGAUUGGAGAUCCGUUUCAAUCCUGCCGAGCUCAAGGAUUGCAAUUUCGUGUCAAUCCUGGUACACAGUCACGAGCUGUAGUACAACAAAAUUCAAUGAUGGUGGGUCGUAGAUGAAUAGUAAAGCUGCAUGCAAAUAUUGCAUAGCCCCAAGACGCAAUAGAAAGAGUGGUGCGCAUCAAUAAUGUUCGAGCGACAAGCUAAAGUUGCUUGGUCGUAGCCUCGGUGAGACCGUAUUGCGUGUGAACAUGGGGUACAGGACACUUCAACUUACAUCCAGAUGAACUUCUUUAAAGAAUGGGUAGUGAGCCCGUAGAAGUAUAAGCAGCAUAAGCAGUAGAUAAUAGUGUAACACGUGACCAGUGUGUUAACACUUCAACUAACACCAUAAAACAUAAAAAGGUGUCCGCAAGUUGGUUGUAUCUAUCUACAUAGUUUGAUGUAAGAAUAGAAUGUUCACUUUUGUGUUAUUUAGCGUAGGAAGGUCUCAUUCCUUAUUUAGCUAAAGAAUAGGCUUUCAAAACGAGCAAUGAGCAUUGCAGGGGGCCAAUGCGACAUCGAGGAAAGGCCGGUGCACCUCAAUUGCUUGAGGAAUUGACCGGACGACCUCCAGGAAGUUGGAGUCGUGUUCGGGUGACGUCAAUGUCCCCCGAGUCACCACCAUGCUUCAUGGUGAUGCUAGAUCUCGAAUGUCUUCGUUUUGAGCGGAAGAAUGGAUGUCCAUGAGAAUUUCUCAAAAUUUGGACCAUUAUAUCUCUUCCAGGUUGACCAAUUUGGUCAAACCAAAGCCUAUAUGAGUCGGUGUCCCAAAUAUCAUGUUUGGCGACAACAUGAGAUUCGAUAUUCGAAUCGUAGUGACAUACAGUUCACUUGAUUGACUCAUGAAUUUCUCCAAGAUGCGCUUCAGUUCGCAUUUAUGAGGAGGUAUACACAAAAGAAUUCUUGUUCAUUCUCACAAUGUGUUUUCAAAUGAAAACCAUUAGCAGGAAUGUCUUUAAAACUUAACAUGGUUCCUUAGAAUGUUGUGGAUAGUUCCACUAUCUGCGAAGCACUCAAUGUCUCUAUGAGACAUAACUACAAGGAGUAGAUAGGCGAGUAAAUAGUUCUACUUGAACCAUUUAAAAUGAUUGAAAGAAGCUACGAAAAGCUGCAAUCCCGAGAGUGCAUAAAAAUUUCCGCGCAGAAUGACCUUUGCGCACUAAAACAGCCAUAACUUCUUCGUUAAAAUAAAUAUGGACGAACCGUGAAAAGUUCUGAAAACUAAACUUGUAGAGCUUUCCAAUGAUAUAAAGCUCACUGUCUGGUUCGUCCGGAGCUGUUCAAAAAGCUCAAACGAAGUUGACUGUUCAGAAGGGACAGAUUGCUGUUUUUCGCAGAUUUGGCAUGUGCGAAGCUGUGAAGCUUGC